GCUGGGCGUGGUGGCGGGCGCCUGUAAUCCCAGCUACUCGGGAGGCUGAGGCAGGAGAAUCCCUUGAACCUGGGGGGUGGAGGUUGCAGUGAGCCAAGAUCAUGCCACUGCACUCCAGCCUUGGUGACAGAGUGAGAUUCUGUCUCAA
rfam:Homo sapiens chromosome 7, GRCh38 reference primary assembly.